GGCCAGGAAAUUGAGCGUCGUUAUGAGUUUGUUUUAUCUCAGGGGGUCAAAGAAAUGACUGGAUAUUUUCCACGCUGAUUGUGCGAAGGACGAGUCAAUGUGGUGUGCUAUCGUCAUAGGAAAUAUUCAAAGUAUACGUAGCGUUCAAUCAGUGCUUGUUUUCCCCUUUAGGCUAUUACUGAUAACUGAUAUGGACCUCAACUAUGUAUCCUGCAUUUAUAUCAGUGUGAAACCGCUAUGAGCUAUUAAUACAACUGCUGGAAACGACUUUGUCGAUCACCGCACAACAUCCAGAACAUGCGAAACAUUACAACUACACUUAAGUGAAUGAAAAUUCCAUGCAAGCUGAUCAUGUGAACAUGUAAGGACGGAAUAUAGAAAUACCAGAUGUGGAACAGUGCUUUUUCGAUCUCUGUGGAGUGAUUUUCCACAGGCCAUAAAACAGUUAGUAGACUAAUAAAGCUGGUGUAGAUUUACCUAAAGCCACAGAAAAGCAGGAAACCUUUCAAGAUCGCUUUCAAGAAGCCUUUCUAGUGCACUUGUCAAAAAACCCUUGAAGUGCGCUACUUUACAUGGAUGCCAUUUUUGAUGACUGUAAUCAAAUUGAUAGAAGCUUAAAAAUCAAUUACUGGUAAUUGUGGAAAUUACUAAUCGACCAAUCUUAAAAAUACAUUUCUAUACAUAUACAGUAGGGCUCUGAUUGGUACAAAAACUGGCUUUGGCCCUUGGUUUUGUUCAGGGACAAGCCAUCAAAUCCCUGGCGGGAAUUUGUUGAUUUCUCCUUGUUCAGAGAUGGGUGCUCCAUUUAACUUGUAUGAUAUCUUGAUACGCAUUCUUAGCGGUUGCUGAAGUAAAAAAAAUGUUGGUUAAUAUGCGUCUUAUAAUGUGAAUAUUUAUUGUACUUUAUAAGAAUACGUUUUCAAAGAAGAUAUGUAACGAAUGAAUUGUAUAACACUGUUCAAAAUGGUUAGGCCCUGGCUAAACGAGGAGACAUUUUUCCAGAAACAUGUUUCCCUAAAUGUUUCCUAAGGUGGCAAAACUGUCAGGAAUCAUCGGGAAACAAUGUUUCAAUGCGUCUUGAAAACAUGAAAUGCUUCUGCCGCACAGUCAAAACAUUUUGGAGGCAAAAUUUGUUGCACGCAGCAAUGUUUCGAAUGUGGCUAAACUGGGAAACAUCGAGGAAACAUGCGCGCGGUAAACAUGUUUCCUCGUUUAGUCAGGGCCUUAUACGACAGGCCCGAAAGACAAGUUUGAAUUUUGAUAAAUUUUGAUAUGUUUUUCUUUUUCUUGUUUUUUCCUCGUCAAUUUUAAUGUUAAUCAUGUUUGUACUGUAUGUAAAUUGUAGGGAGAGGGAAUAUCAAUUGGGACGAAAGUUCUGUCUUCUUCGCCAGUCACAAAAUUUAUAUGUCUCAAGUUUCAUAAAAUGUAUGUUUAUAUUGUGACAAAUAAACUAAAGUAAACUAAACUAA